CCUACGGGAGGCAGCAGUGGGGAAUAUUGGGCAAUGGGCGCAAGCCUGACCCAGCAACGCCGCGUGAAGGAAGAAGGCUUUCGGGUUGUAAACUUCUGUUAAGAGGGAAGAGCAGAAGACGGUACCUCUGGAAUAAGCCACGGCUAACUACGGGCCAGCAGCCGCGGGAAUACGGAGGUGGCAAGCGUUGUCCGGAUGUACGGGGUGGAAAGGGCGUGCAGCCUGGAAGACAAGUCAGAUGUUAAAUCCCGCGGCUCAACCGCGGAACUGCAUUUGAAACUGUUUUUCUUGAGUACCGGAUAGGUCAUCGUCAUUCCUUGUGUAGCGGUGACAUGCGUAGAUAUCAGGAAGAACACCAGUGGCGAAGGCGGAUGACUGGACGGCAACUGACGGUGAGGCGCGACAGCGUGGGGAGCAAACAGGAUUAGAUACCCCAGUAGUC
rnacentral:rRNA from 1 species